UACAGCAAUGUUUGAGUAGUACAAAAAUGUUUUCGCUUUUGUGGUCGCCAGCUGUCCGUGAUCUGUAAAGUGAAAAUACACAGAGCUAUGAAGCAUACAAAUGUUUCGAAAUUUUAUCAAUGAUUGUAUACUAUGCAUGUUUUGAUUUAGUUCGUUUCAGAUUUGACAUGAGAUGAAAACCUGACAUGAUUUGAACAGAGCUGGGAAACGAAAAGGUAAGUCUGUUUCAUUCCACUAUGAACACUUGUAUUUUGACAAAAGAAGAGAUAAAGUGAGUUACUUUAUCAUCAUGGUUUCAUUUGGUGUAUUACACAUGAACAGAGGUAAACCUAGCUAGCUUUUCGUGUACUCUAUUUUGGAUGAUGAGUAUGUCAGUAACUUUAAUUGUACGGCUAGUAAAGUAUGAACAUGAAUGCUUUGUUCAGAUUUUCAGAUGUGUGCUGGCAGUUCAAGUCUGGCAGCUGGAGUGAACAGUCGUGUUUUCUGGAGCUCCAACAAUAUGCUAGAAGGUAAGUAACUAUGUUUGUUUUGCAUUGCAUGUUUUUAUAUGUUUCAGACUUUCAAGCAGAGAUGUCAUGCUGACUGGAGUUGAGCACAGGGCAGUGACAAAGUGAAAGGUAAGUACUUUUGACUGAAUGUUUGUUCUAUGCAUGUUUUGUUUUAAUACAUUUCAGGAGUGCUUAUCCAGUGAUGAUAUGACAGUUGGAGUGAACAGUGGAGCCAAGCAGUCUUGUUUUUGGAGCUACUCAACAAGCCUUGAAGGUAAGUUUAGAAUUUCUCAAUGUUAGUGAAUUGAAGUACUGUCACUUGCUUUUGGACAGUCGAACAGAACAGACGUGGUUGCGAGAGCUCUCAUAUCUGUUGUGUUAAACUGUUUUUAUGAUAUGUUAUGUUUGUUUGUUUGUUUGUUGGUGUUGUACUAUUUUUCAGAUGCUGUUGGCAGUGAUGGGUUUUCAAGCUGACCUGAACAGAAAAGCAAUCAUAUGGUAAGUACAAAUAGUUGUUAUAUGGGAUGUUUUGUGCAUGCUUUUAUGUUUCAGGUGUACUUGCAGUUAGAGACGAAGACGAUUCAAGAAGAGGACCAUAGGUCAGAAAGUGGAUGGAACAUACAAAGGAUUCGAGUCACUGGUUUACACAUGGAAGAAGAUUUCCACGUCUGUUACUCAACUCUACAGAAGCAAGGUAAGUCGAUCAAAUUUUUGUUUUCAUUGACUGCUGUAAUGUGAUGUUAUGCUAUUUUUCAUGUGUGCUAUGCAGAGAUGGAGAAUUCAAUUUUAAGAAAGAUUAACUGCUGCAGCUUAGCUCUGCUCUGUGUUGAUUUUUGUUCAAAAACGUUUAAAAUGUAUGUGUGUUUUCAGAUGUUUUGUUUCAGUUGAUGUCCAGAUGGCAAGCAGUACAGACGUGUUUCUUGGAGCUGCCAAACAGUGAGUACAAACGUUUUAUAUUUUUCAGUUGUGUACUCAUAGAAGUCUGUGAAAGAUGAUAGCAAGGGUAGAAUCUAUCAGUACUUGUGUCUAAAAAUGCUGAUGUGUGACGGUUUACUGAAAAGGGUAAAUGCUAGCCAGUACUUACACUUGAGCAACCGUGGGAUGUCGAACUAACUGAUGAUGUACUAUGAUGGUGAACACUUACUAUGUGUAUCGAAAUGCUUUUGUUGAUAUUUAUUAUAGAUGAUUUGAUAUUGGUUAACAUUUGUUUGCAUGCUGUUAACAUUUCUAUUUCAUUUCAGUGAGCUGUGGUGAGUAUUGUAGUAUACAUUUGUUUCAAUAAAUCAUGAUGAAUGAAAACUGAUUUCGAUUCUUUUUUACAGUUUUAGGGAUUAUCACUCUAUAACAACUCUGUCGGUUGGUGUUCGUGAAUGUGAGCUUAAUGUUUGAGUAGUACAAAAAUGUCUUUACUUUUGUGAUCGCCAGCUGUCUGUGAUGUAAAGUGGAAAAAACACAGCUAUGAAGCAUACAAUUGUUUCAAUAUUUUAUCAAUGAUAGUGUGCUAUGCAUGUUUUGAUUUAGUUCGUUUCAGGUAUGACAUGACAUGAAGAGUUGACAGUCGAACAGAGCUGAGCAAAGCAGAAAGGUAAGUGUGUUUCAUUUUAGUAUGAACACUUGUAUUUUGUUUUUAUAUGGUAUGUUUUGUGCAUGCUAUGUUUCAGGUGUACUUGUAGUCAGCGACGAAGACGAUUCAAGAAGAGGAACAUUGCUGAGAAAGUGAAUGGGACAUGCAAACAGGGUAAGUGUUACAAUUGUUGGUUUGAUUUUUACCAUGCAUACUUUGCUUUACUCUGUUUCAGAUUUCACAUGCAGAAAUGGUCUCAUAGCAGUGCCAACAGUGAAUAAGGAUUUCAUCUGCUGUGAACCAACUCAACAGAAAGUAGGUAAGCAUUGAAUGAAUGCACUUGAGCUGUACAAUUUGAUGUGAUGCUUUUCUCUGUUUCAGAUUCAAGUUCCUGGUGUAGACAGAGAAAUGUGUUUGAAGAAGGAAUUCUACUACUGUGAUUCAACUCUACAGAAGCAAGGUAAGUAGAAACAAAAUUUUGGUUUAAUUUAACUCAUGUGUUUUGCACUGCAUGCUAUUUUUCAGGUCUCUCACGCAGUGAUGGAAAAGAAGAAGAUUUCAAGAAAGAAUCACUGCUGCAACUCAGGCCUAUAACAAGGUAAGUGUUUACUAUAUUGUAUACAAAAUGUUUCUCUGUUUUACUCUGUUUCAGGUUUCAAUUGCAAAGAUGUUGCAGAGAUGUUUUGACAGCUUGAGACAGAAAAGAAAUUCAGCAGCUGUGUCUCGACUCUAGCCACGAGGUAAGUCAAAACAAAUAUACUGGUUUGUAUGUUAUGUUGUUAUGCCCUUCUAUGUUUCAGACUUACAUUGCUGUGACUGUUCCACAGUGGGUCAAAAAAGAGACGAAUACAGGUUUCAAGAAGAAAAUUGGCUGUUGAAAACCUGCACAAAAUAUGAGGUAAGUAAACUAUUCUUUUGGUUUGUUUUGUGCUUUGUUAUGCUUAACUAUUUUUCAGAUUGGAAUGGUGGGUCGUUACAGAGCAGACUUUUGGACAACUGAGAAGUUGAGAAACAGAGAAUGAUUCAAGAUCAGCUAGGUAAGUCUUGAUUAUUGUGCAUUGCUAAAUGUUUUUUUUCAUUCCAGUAUGGCUGUGGUAAGUACACAAACUUUCUAUAAUUUAAUAUUGAACUGUUUUUAUGACCUGUAUUCUGCAUUGUAAAAUGUCUGUUUUUCAUUUCAGUAUCCUGUGGUAAGUACACUAACUUUCUUUAAUUUUCAUAUUGAACUGUUUUGAUGACUUGUAUACUACUAUGCAAUGCCUAAUGUUUUUUUCAUUUCAGUAGCCUGUUGGUAAGUACACUAACUUUCUAUAAUUUCAUAGUGAAUUGUUUUGAUGACCUGUAUUCUGCAUUGUAAAAUGUGUUUCUUUUUCAUUUCAGUAUGGCUGUGGUAAGUACAAUUGCCUUUCAUAUUGAACUGUUUUGAUGACCUGUAUUUUGCAUUGUAAAAUGUGUUUCUUUUUCAUUUCAGUAUGGCUGUGGUAAGUACACAAACUUUCUUUAAUUUUCAUAUUGAACUGUUUUGAUGACUUGUAUUCUACUAUGCAAUGCUUAAUGUAUUUUUUUCAGUAGCCUGUUGGUAAGUACAAUUGCCUUCUUUAAUUUUCAUAUUGAACUGUUUUGAUGAUGUGUAUACUGCUAUGCAAUGCUUAAUGUUUUUUUCAUUUCAGUAUGGCUGUGGUAAGUACACAUACUUUCUAUAAUUUCAUAUUGAACUGUUUUGAUGACUUGUAUACUGCUAUGCAAAAUGUCUGUUUUUCAUUUCAGUAGCCUGUGGUAAGUACACUAACUUUCUUUAAUUUUCAUAUUGAACUGUUUUGAUGACUUGUAUUCUGCUAUACAAAAUGUGCUUUUUUCAAUUUCAGGUCAGCAAUGGUAAGUAUAGUGUGUUUUUUUAUGUAUAAUUUUGUAUACAUAUUGUUUUUUUCAUCAUAGCAUGUCUUUUAUAUUUAUGCUUUGUGUAAGUAAAAUGUUCAUAAAUCAUUCUUAUCUUCAAACUAAAAAUGUAUUGUGCUAUGCAAAAUGUCUGUAUGAUUUCAGUUGCCAGAGGUGAGUACCAUUACAGUUGAAAAGUUAGUUUUGUUUAGUUAAAGUUUUGGUUCACAGUUCUGUUUGUUAUUUGGCAAAAUUUACAUGUAUGCAUUGAGUCUUGAUUUCAGCUCGAUUGUGGACUGAAGAAGAUUGCCCGCAGAGGGAUUGGAUACAAAAUACAAACUUUACUGCUAGACGAGUGUUCUCUACUACUUGACGAGUCAGCUUUACUACCAGGCGAGCAGUGACAACAAGGCGCCUUUGUGGAAACAACACAACAAAAAACUGUACUGCUAGACGAGCAGUGACAGAAAGGCGCCUGAACAUGCAACACAAAACAAAAAAUGCCAAUAUACAAACCUUGAUGUGGACACCGAGUAGUCAAUACAUACGUGUGGCGUACAGCUGCGACAAAACCGUGGGUCCAUCGCACCGAUAACUCGAACAUUGGCCCGCGUAUGGACAUCAGUGCAACUUUGUGAAUCCAUGUAACUUUGUGAAUCCAUGUAACAUUGCGAAUAUGUGUCGAUCGAAAAAUGUGUACAUUCUGCACUGAAACGAACUCGGUGUUGCAAGUGGCAAGUGUUGACAGUGUGUAUGUUUAUGUUUAUGUUUUUACAUGAAAAAUAAAGGAGAUUGUUCUCCUACCUUUUUUUUCCUUGUUUUAUUGUGCUGGCCAGCAAUAUUGAUGUAUUGAUGUAUGUGUUUGUGUAUUAACAAUGUAUUAACUAUGCAAUACCAAAAUCAAACAAAAAAUAAACAUUAACAGUCAUUAACUGUGUUUGGGCGGCCGAGGGGUUUAAGACUCCACAAGUGUGAAGCGCACUGAUAGCACUUGGGGGUAAACACCUCGGUAUUUCGGUGCUAAAAUGUUUUCACGGUGCUUAUUUUGACGCACUGUUAGAACUACCAACCAGUAAAUGAUUGCUUGAUUUAUAAAACAAAUAUUCAGUCUCUACUUUGGCACAAGAGACUCUAAGUAUCAAAUACCAACAAUUUAGACGCAGACAAUCACAUGGUGGUACACCAGUCCGAAUAUACUCAUUGCUCUAGCCAGGAUUGCAAAUUACUUGUGUUGACUAGCAAGGCUCCCUAGUAACGGAGCAGUGUUACUGGCGUUUUUUGGGUCGAUAGUGCUUAGGUGAGGUUUUGCUCGAAUCGGGAGCGGGUCACUCGCUUGGGCGAGUUAGUUUUCGCUCGUAGUUUCCAAUCUGGCUAGAUCACUGUAAGGUUGUUUUGACUGCUAUUUGGCAAGCAGAAAGACAACAGCGGUUAAUUGACUGAGUAUGGGCGACCGAGGUAUGUAGGUGUCAAUAGACCGACUCCACAAGUUGCGAAGCGAACCGAUAGCACUUGAGGGGAAACGCCUCGGUUUUCGGUUCUAACAUGUGUUAUCCAUGCUGUCGUUAUACUCUGGCAAGGCUCCUCAAUCUAUCGCGAGGGACACUCAUUAUUGCCCGCAAGCUUUAGAACCUGACGUGGGUCGAUGCGUAUGCGAGUCCGAGGACGCGAUGGCAUUUGAUAAGGCUACCAACCGGUUGAUAACACGCAUUGUUCAAAUUGUUAGGUUUAAGUCUGCUAGGGCUGGGGUGGGAA